CACAAGUCCAUGGUUGUGCAAGAGGAGGUCCAUAAUGUUCCAGUGUCAAGCAUCUUCAUCCUGUUGGCCUGCUGCAAAACCAUGACAUUUCAUUUUGGAACAUUUAAUGUCAAGCCAUUAGCUCAGUCAAAAAUCAUUGAUGGGGAAGAAGUCUUGUCUUAUGAAUGUUCUGACAGCCUAACAUCGAGGGGUUGGCGGCCUUUGCUGGAGACCAACCUUUGAGAGCUCCACCACGGGGAGCCGACGGGACUUUAACAUCGUGGAGCCCGUGAUCCCUCUGCCAGGACCUCGAAGCUCCAACUGUGGUUGCUUGCGGACUUAACAUCUCAGAGACCGACUUCGGGAACUCCAAGCCGCAGGAGCUUCCACCACCCCGAUGCGGACGUUUCGAUCGCCCCAACGUGGAGAAUCCGCUGUGGUGGAUGGUUAUGUUAAAUUUUAUGUAGUUGUACGUCUUGUUGCUUUUUUAGUGUACUCUAAUUGGUACACAUGACAAUAAAAAACCUUUGAAACCUUUGAAAUGUAAUUUUUAAACUGGUGGGCAGCCAUAAAGUUCCAUAAAUAUUUAUUUGUUUUAUGUUGCCAAUUAUUUUUUUUGUUUUUUGUGACAUGAGGAUAAAUAACCAGAUAGGUUUUACAAAACUGGAUCAGUAUUAGAUUGUAAUUUUAAUUAUUGUCAAAAAUACUUUGUCCAGUGCCUAUUGCGAAAUUGGUGACUUUCUAAUAUAUAUUUCAGGAUGAACACUAAAAUCUACGCACAUUUUUUUAAUACCGUGAGAACAAGUAGGACAUUUUUGUUUUAUAAUAGCAUAUUAUCAAAUUUUAGAGAUCUGCCAAAAUAUUUCAUGUUCAGUGAAUAGUUAUCACUGUUAUUAAAUGGGCUGAGAAGACUGGGUAACACAUCACGAUAUGCAUAUAAAAUACCAACAGAGGAGUUUCUUGUGUAGUUUUAUGUAGAUGUUAGUUCCAUACAAGUUGCAUUAUCAAGAGUGUGGAGACAUUUUAAGAAUUUGUAACAGAGAAUGGAGAGGAAUCUAAAGCUUUCCCCACAAGAUGUGUAAGGGACAGGGUUCAGGAAUGUAAAGCCGCCACAAAAACCCACAAUCUUUUCAGAUCGAAGUCUCGUGUCAGGGAAACAUCACAAUAACUCCUAUGUUCUGGGCAUAAACAUGGAGACAACGUUUAAAUUUCGGUGGCCUUCAUUGCAUUAGUGGUGACAUUUUGUGAAUCAGAUCUUUCCUCUUACAAAAAUAAGGAAUCAGCCAUGGAGAGGAUUAUUCUAAUAGUCUCUUAAUUAGUCUCCUUUCGUGGGAUUGACUGUUUGUACAUGUUUCUCUGUGGUACUUUUCUUGAAAUUAGGUGCAUCAUUAUGAAUGCACCUAACUCAAAGAAAAGUAGCACAGAGAAACAUGUACAAACAAUCAAUCCCAUGAAAGGAAACUAAUUGAGAGACUAUAAUAUAACAUGCCCUGAAAAAUGCAAGACAGAGUGCAUGUGGGUGGGUGUGGCUGGGAAUUGUGAGUGGGAGGGCUGUAAAAUGUAAGUAAUUUGCCAGAUGGUUGGGAUGAAGGUCCCAAUGCCCCAUUUUCCACACUUUCCACACUCAAAUAGAAUGUGUGCCUACAAUACAUUCAAGGGACGUUGAUCCUCAAACGUUAGUUGCUCAAUUUACUAUUACAACUCACAAUUGCAUUUACACGAUUUACUUAAAUAUCUGAGUUUCUCCAAACAAUUUUAUGGUCAAGUAACCUGUUCCCCCUCUGUCCUUUUUUUUCCUCUCCUUCUCUCCUUUUUAUUCUCUCCUUCUGAUCUACCAAGGCCCUUUCACAAACUUCUUUCUUACAACCACUGCCCCUCAGCUUUUUACUAUCUUUCCUUUCCUUUCUCCCACCUACCCCAUCCGCUCAUCACCCACACACUACUCCCACUGGAUCUCAUAUGUUCUCCCCCCACUCUUCCCAUCUGCCCACCAUCCUUCUCUUACUGGGUUUUGUGCUUCCAUUAUUAGUCCUGCAGAGAUCUGCAGUCCUCUGUUGUCUCCACAUCACCUCCCUGCUUCUGAAUAGGAAGGAACUGCAGAUGCAGGAUAAGGAUGAGGAUGAGGGGUGAUCUUAUAGAGGGGUAUAAGAUCAGGUAGAUGCACAGAGUUUCUUGCCCAAAAGAAGGUGAAUCGAGGACCAGAGGACAUAGGUUUAGGCUGAAGGAGAAAAGAUGUAAUAGGAAUCUGAGGGGGUAACCUUUUCCCACAAAGGGUGGUGAAUGUAUGGAACAAGCUGCCAGAGGAGGUAGUUGAGCCAGGAAUGAUCCCAACAUUUCAGAAACAGUUAGACAGGUACAUGGAUAGGUCAGGUUUGGAGUGAUAUUAGCUGGCAGGUGGGACUAGUGUAGCUGGGACAUGUUGUGCUGAAGGGCCUGUUUCCACACUAUAUCAUUCUAUGACUCUGCUGGUUUACAGCGAAGAUAGACACAAAAAGCUGGAGUUACUCAGUGGGUCAGUCAGCAUCUUUGGAGUAAAGGAACAGAUGACGUUUCAGGUUGAGACCCUUUUCCAGACUGAAAGUCAGGGGAAAGGAAAACAAGAGAUAUAGAAGGUACACAGAACAAACGAAUAAAAGAUAUGCAAAAAGCAAUAAUGAUCAAGAAAAGGUGGAGCCCACAAUUGCCCAUUAUUCGUUGUGGGGAAGGUGAUAAGUUAUACAGACAGUGAAACUCAACAUGACGAUAGUGAAAUUCCCAGUCUACCUCCCAGCUUCUGUUGCUACCUCCACCUUUCCCUCCCCGACCUAAUUCCUAAC